AACGAACGCUGGCGGCAUGCCUAACACAUGCAAGUCGAACGAGACCUUCGGGUCUAGUGGCGCACGGGUGCGUAACGCGUGGUAACCUGCCCUUAGGUUCGGAAUAACUCCCCGAAAGGGGUGCUAAUACCGGAUAAUGUCUUCGGACCAAAGAUUUAUCGCCUUUGGAUGGGCCGGCGUUGGAUUAGCUAGUUGGUAGGGUAAAAGCCAACCAAGGCGACGAUCCAUAGCUGGUCGGAGAGGAUGAUCAGCAACGCUGGGACUGGGACACGGCCCAGACUCUUACGGAAGGAAGCAGUGGGGAAUAUUGGACAAGGGGCGAAAGCCUGAUCCAGCAAUGCCGCGUGAGUGAUGAAGGCCUUAGGGUUGUAAAGCUCUUUUACCCGGGAUGAUAAUGACUGUACCGGGAGAAUAAGCACCGGCUAACUACGUG
rnacentral:rRNA from 1 species